rnacentral:lncRNA from 1 species
GCCAACAUAUUUGUUCAAAUUCAAUUUGCCUUGGACAUGUUUUAAUUAUACCAUGAAUAUUCAAGAUGUUUAAAUUAGGGAUUUGGAGGCAUAACUCAGUGGUAGAGUGGUUGCCUAGCAUGUGUGAGGCCCUGAGUUCUAUCACCGGCUCUGAAAAAAUAACAUUCAUCUAGAUCUUUUACUUGUUUACAAACAUGUUCUUCAAAGUUUAAGGAAGUACUGUCUUAUUUCAGUAAUCUACCUUAAGUGCAAAUAGUUGAGGUAAGAAAAAUCAAAAGCUAUUGCUGAUGUGGUGUAUGAAAGAAGUUUUUUUUUUUUUUUUAAUUUUUAAAAAUAUUUAUGUGUUAGUUUUCGGGAGACACAACAUCUUUGUUUGUAUGUGGUAUUGAUAUUGAACCCAGGCCGCACGCAUGCCAGGCGAGCGCACUACCGCUUGAGCCACAUCCCCAGCCCUGAAAGAAGUUUUUAACCCCAGUAUUGCACUGAUCUUUAAAUUUUGGAUGGCUCAGAAGUUUUUUUUUUUUUUUUAAUAGUGGUGCCGGGGAUUGAACCCAGGGUCUUGUGCAUGCAAGGCAAGCACUCUACCAACUAAGCUACAUCCCCAGUCAUUUCUUAUAAGUUAUUUCAAUCAUGUAUAACUUAUACCAAUAAAAUAAAUUGCAAUAGUGUCCUUAUUCAUAGCCUUAAUCAGAAUUAAAGACUCAAUGUCUAGGAGACCACCAAUCCCUCCAGAAACAUCCAAUCUUUUAAGCUAUUAUCUGACUUAAAAUGCUUAUGUAAUGUGUAACGUUACAUUUAAAAAUAAUGCAUCUCCAGGAAACCGAUUUUCACUCUGGAUUCCUGCCCACCCCUUGGUACUGGGGAUGAAUUAUGGGGUAUGGGGGUAGGAGAUGCUCCACCCCUGAGCCACAUCCCCAGCCCCUUUUUAAAUUUUGAGAUGGGGUCACACUAAGUUGCUUAGGGCCUCACAAAUUUGCUGAGGCUGACUUUGAACUUGCCAUCCUCUUGCCUCAGUCUCCCAAGUUGCUGGAAUUACAGGUAUGCCACAGCCUGCCAGGCCAGAAAAUUUUAUUUUCAGAAAAGUGGUUUUAAGAUUGAAGGUUGUUGUUUUUUUUUUUUUGCCUUCAUUGGAAAUAAACAUAUAUAUAUAUUACUCCACUGAGCCUAUUUUCUGGACCAUGUUUGACCUGAUGUGGACAAAAAUCAGCUGCUGAUCUGCCCCCCUGCUUUGUCACAUGUUGCAGAUGUCAUGGACUCACUGAGAGGGGCGAUUAAAGGGUUCACUGUUACCAUCUCAGUUUGGGUAGGGAGAGGAGUCCUGUCACGUUGUAGUGCACUUGGAGACAAGAACAGGUAAGAAGUUAGGGGUGGGCCAACUUCCUGGCAGGGUUUCCUUGGAACAACCUCAGUGUGGGAUGCUAGGAUCUGCCAAAUCCUAACUCUGCAUUCCUUUGUGAGCCUGAGCAUGUGACUCUCCUCCCUUAGCCUUGGCUUCCUCAUCUUUAAAAUGGGAUAUAUUUUAGAUUCAGAGAGAAAUAAGAUAUUUAGCACAAAGCAUCUGUGCUACCCAGGCCACGGAAAGAGGGUUUGGGAUCUGCUCCCCUGGAGCCUGCCCCUCCCUUCCUGACAGAGCUUGUAAGUUUGUUCAUUUAAUCACAGUGGCGCAACUUAAGGCACCAGAUGAGAAAGACUGACAGAAGGGGUUUACUGUUCCUUCCCCGCCACAUACAAUAUUAAGCAAUGAUGAGGUGUGGUCUGCAUGGCUCUGAACUAUCCUUGUUUGAAAGUUGGAGGAUGUUCCCUGAGGAUAGGAAUUUGGAACUUCAAAGUGACAUCCAGAUAUAACCCUCAGAACACCAAAAAGUAACUUCCCAUCCAGUAACAGAGCUAUCAAAAGUAAGCCUCCACAUUUCUGCACAAAGGUGGGUUUCACUAAAUCUUCAGACAUCGGGCCCCUCCCUUCCUUGAUGUGUCAUGCACAGAUCAAGAGCAAUAGAAAUGGGUUUUCUUGUGAAGUCAUGUAAAACAUUCUGAAACUGGACAGAGGUGAUGAUUACUCAACAUUGUGAAUGUACUAAAUGCCACUGAAUUGUAUAUAUUAAAAUGUUAAUUUUAUGUUUUUUUUUUUUUAAUCUCAAUAAAAAACCAAAAUUGUUACUCUGUGGUAGAGCGCUUGCCUAUCAUGUGUGAGGCACCAGGUUUGAUACUCAGCACCACAUAUAAACAAAGGUCCAUUAGCAACUAAUAAAAAUAUUAAAAUAGCCCAGACCAUAUUUGUUCCAUACUUGGUGCUCAAAUUCUAGUAAAUAAGUAAAUUCCAUUUCCUUCCCACGAGAAAAAUAGAGGGAGAGCCAAAGGGUCUUAAGAUUCUACCUCCAGCCCUAGGGGUCUAAUCCCAGGUAACUCUACUACUGUGCUAUGUUCUCAGCCCCUUUUUAUUUUUGAGACAGGCCUUUGCUAAGACUGUCCUUGAAUUUGCAAUCCUCCUGCUUCAGCCUCCCAAGUCACUGGGAUGUGCCUUUAAGGGGAUUUUUUUUCCCCCCAAGAAACUAAAGGUAACAACUUGGA